CGGGAGGAGGGAGGUGGUGCCACGAUGAGCACAUCAAGUGUUUUCUCUGAGUUACUCUUCUUCAAGCAAGGCUGAAAAAUGAACUCAAGAUACAAAGAUGCCAUGGGAAGCUCUUAAUCUUACAAAAAAGAGCCUGAGGACAUUCUGAUGCUUCUGCAUGAAGAGAGAAAGCAGUCCACAGUGCCAAGAUAAAGCUGAGGUGUGACACCAAAGGGUCUCUGGACUGGCAGUGCCCGACCCACCGGGAGCUCCUGCAGCCAAGCUUCCACCUCCUCACCAAGCUGCUUGGAUUGAAGCCUGGUCUUAGACAACAGAAAGGAAAAAUCUCCCUAAACUUGAAACAAAACAGCAGAGCCUUUGC